AUAGCUGCUCUGAUAUUGUCGUUGAUGUGUUGUGUAAAUACACAGAAGUUCCCGAAGAGGGAAGGACGAUAUCGCGAGGGAUUUCCCGGUGGCUUUUUUGUCGGGAACAGAUAUUAUUCUUACCGGGAUCCUCAAACCCGGUCAAGUAUCGGAAACGGAAAUGACGUUUUGGGAGGCGAAAGGAGAAGAACGUUUGGAAGGAAUUGGUAAAAAACAAAUCCAUGCAUAGAUUGAUGCGAACAAUUGCAGUGUCAACCUGACAACCAACAAUUUUAUGUAAAACAGUUUUUCUACCAAAAUGCAACAGUUUAUUACUUCAGUGUGUCUUUUCACACGUUUGUUUAACUUAAAAAUAUAUCUAAAUGCAUGCGCCUUAUACAUCAAAACUAAUUUGCCUUUCCAUCACAAUGUACUAUGCUGAUUAACAUAGCGUCUAUUUUGACGUUAACGGUUUACAUAAUAAAAAGCACGUACUAAGAAAGAA